CGUAGGAGACGAGCGUUAUCCGGAUUUACUGGGCGUAAAGCGUGUGCAGGCGGUUCGGCAAGUUGGAUGUGAAAUCUCCCGGCUCAACUGGGAGGGGUCGUUCAAAACUACCGAACUUGAGGUCAUCAGAGGAAGGUGGAAUCCCGGGUGUAGUGGUGAAAUGCGUAGAUAUCCGGAGGAACACCAGUGGCGAAGGCGGCCUUCUGGGAUGAUCCUGACGCUCAGACACGAAAGCUAGGGGAGCGAACGGGAUUAGAGGCCCCGGUAGUCCUAGCUGUAAACGAUGUAGACUUGGCGUCGGAGGGUUCAAAACCUUCGGUGUCGUAGCUAACGCGAUAAGUCUACCGCCUGGGGACUACGGCCGCAAGGUUA
rnacentral:rRNA from 1 species